UCUCGCGAACUGGCUCUUAAUUUCAUUUUGCAAAUCUCGCCAAAUAACUUUCAAAGCGGGAUCGCGAGUUCUUUGGUAUUGCCUUCGCCUCACAUUUUUAAGACGGAUCAGUAGCUGAAGAUCGUCGUCAAUAAUAAUGGAGUUGAAUUUAAUUUCACAUUUAGGAAUUGCAAUGCCUCUGGCUUCGACAAUUAAAUUUGUCAAAGAUACGAGCGCAUUGUCAAUAUCACUUUUUGUAUCCAAAGGAAUAUUAACAUCAAAAUUCCUAUCGAUAUACGUUUUAUAUAAAUCCCAAUCAGCUCUAUGAUAAUUAAAAGUAGAGCUGAUCGGAUUAUAAAUGGCUUCUUGUGAGAUUUCAAAUGUCACAGGAAGGUAAUCAGAGUCAAAGCAUUGACGAAUACAUAGACGGAGUGGUGGCCAUUUUUUCGGGCACCACUAUAUACCCCUGGGGAGUGACGGAUUACAAUUAUUACAAUCACUCGACCAUUGAGAAGCCCCUCAAUUCAAAUCACGUCAGUUUGACAACAGUUGUCAUUUCCAUUUUUGUUUACCUCCUGUUUCUGAUUCAAUGAAUCGAGACGAGUAUCAUCAUAUGUAUCUGAAUCCAUCGUAUGUAGCAGAAGGAAAUGGAACUAAACCGCCGAUAAUAAUCCACAUCGAUGAUAUCAUCAGAAAGAACGAUAUCCCUUGGACAGACUUGGAUCUUUUCCUUGCACGGAAAGCCCUCAACGUCCUCCUUGAUAUAGUGGUCGCUGACUCAGGAAUUCGGAACACAAUUAUCCAGACUGACAAUGCCUAAGCAAGUUUUUAUAUCUGUGGAGAUAUCAGAGGAAAUGGAGGAAAUCGUUGUUCCUAGUGGGCUCACUUGUCACUUCCACUCCGAAUGCCGUUGCGUUUGUAAAAGUUUCAUCUGUUGUAUGUCCCGAUAGCGCCUGCACUCGAUAAUCCUGUGAGUGCGUGAAGAAAAGGAAGACGCUAAGAGAAAAGAUAUCAAUCAGCUGAAGAAAUCGCUGCUCACCAUACCGUUCGAAACUGCAGAAAAGCUAAAGCUAAUCGUCGUCGAACAUUGCGCAUAUUAAGAAAUAUCAACAGCAACUCGGUCGUUAACAUAAUUGAACGGGAAAUCAAUUAGUCAAAUUACAUAUAUACUACUUGGGGAUUCUAAACUGAGAACUUUUCUGGAAGAUGGAAUAUUCAGCUGCUAAAAUUCUUGACAGCUUGUGAAGGACGGCCUGUGGUGCAAAUGUAUUGUUCUGUGAGCCAUAAUCGGGUAACUAGCGUCUCGACAAAUAUUUAUGACGGCAGCUCAUCGCUAUUGCAUCUCGAUGGCAACUGUCUGUUCCAAAAGAAGAUUAUUGUGAACCGGAUGUCGUUUUGUAUGCCCCAUCAACGAUCGUAAAAGUUAGGAAUGACACUGGCUACCAACCAGUAACCGUGAGGACGUUGCUAGAUGCUACAGUAUUUCUUCUUUUGAGCUUGAAUUUCGACAUUACUCCUUGGGAGUAUAGCUUGCGAUAACUUGCGGCAACUCGACACGGACGACAAACUCGGAUUUAGUGAAUAAGCUCUUCAGAACUGCGGAUAUGAGAUGAGAUCUGCUGGGCCAAUAUUUAUCGCAGAUAUUAGGUUGUGACUACAGAGGCAGCUUAUACGAUCGUAGCUUGGCAGCAAGCCAUUGCACAUGACUCAACUCAGCUGAUAGAGAUAUAGUUUCAUCCAGGUGUAGUAGUGUACUGCCGCUAACCGAAAACCAGGCUAACCUGGAUACGGUAUCCAUAUACAGAUAAGUCUGACUUGCGGUUAGCGGCAGUGUAGGUUUAAAUACAACACUUCUAUUUCAGAACUUUUCCUGAAACGAUAUUUAACGUAACACAAAAUUACUCAGUUAUCAGCAAGUGAUUCUUCUUCGUGCUAUAAAUUGUUCAAAUAAAGAUAUUAUUAUUGAAAACAAACUAUAUCAUUCUUUCGUUUUUGAAUUUAAUUGUUAAAUAACAAAUUUCUAAAAUAUUUUCAUACUUAUUAAAUAAGUAUUUCAUAAAUCAGUAAUCAAAAAAUCAGUAAAAUCAGUUGGUAAUUUGUUUGAUUGGUUGCUUGACUGGUUGAUUGAUUGGUUGGUCGGCUCGUUAGUUCAUAUGUUGUUUUGUUGGUUGCUUGACUGGUUGAUUAGUUGGUUGGUUGAAUGAUUGCUUGGUUGAUUGGUAGCUUGCUUUAAAGGUUGGUUAUUUGAUUGAUUGAUGCUUGAUUUGUUAGUUGGUAGAAUGGUUGAUUGGUUGGUUGAUUGCUUGAUUGGUUGGUAAUUUGGUUGAUUGGUUGCUUUACUGGUUGAUUGGCUGGUCGGCUGGUUAGUUGAUAUGUUGUUUUGUUGGUUGCUUCAAUGGUUGCUUGGUUGGUUAAUUAGUUGAUUUGUUGCCUGAUUGAUUGGUAGCUUGCUUGAAUGGCUGAUAGCUGGAUUAGUUGGUUGGUUAUUUGGUUGAUGGGUUGCUUUCAGAGCAUAAAAUAUUCACUUUCAUGAAGCACAUUCACUCCGACUUUUGACAUUCGUGUUUUGAUUAUUCAAAACAUAGAAUGACUCACUCAGUUUACUUCUUCAUAAAUUCAUUCAAUUGAUUACCACUGAGUAUGGUAAUUGCGCGCGAAAAAAACAAAAUUAGCCUUAAUUAUAUUGACAUUUGACGCUAAAAAUGCCCCUCAAUUGAACGUCGGGAUUAGAUCUAUGCGUGUAGUUAAAUAUUUAAAUCAUCAAAAAUGUGUUCAGUUUUACGAUUAUUUAAUAAUUUGUGAUAUUCAAAUAAAUACUCACUGACCCAUAUUCAUCAUGAAAAUUGACGGUGCAGAGCCGAAUAUGAAUAUGUUUAGAAGUGAAGUGACAAAAAAGGCCGAUGGGCUUCAUAAAAAAUAAUCGAAUAUUUACAGCUCUGGUUGCUUUACCGUUUGAUUGAAUUGUUGGUCGGCUGAUUGGUUGAUUAGUUGUUUUUUUGGUUUCUUGAUUGGUUGAUUAGUUGAUUGAUUGAUUGAUUGGUUGGUUGCUGCUUGAUUUGUUAGUUGGAAUAAUGGUUGAUUGGUUGGUUUCUUUUUUGUUUAUUGAUUACUUGAUUGGUUCAUAAUUUGGUUGAUUGGUUGCUUCAAUGGUUGAUUAGUUGGUUGGUUGAAUGAUUGCUUGGUUGAUUGGUAGCUUGCUUGAAUGGUGGGUUGCUUGAUUGAUUGGUAGUUUGCUUGAAUGGUUGGUUAUUUGAUUGAUUGCUGCUUGAUUUGUUAGAUAGUAGAAUAAUUGAUUGGUUGGUUGAUUGCUUGCUUGAUUGGUUGGUCGGCUGGUUAGUUGACAUGUUGUUUUGUUGGUUGCUUGGUUGGUUGAUUAGUUGAUUCGUUGCUUGAUUGAUUGGUGGCUUACUUGAAUGGCUGAUUGCUGGAUUAGUUGGUUGGUUAUUUGGUUGAUGGGUUGCUUUACCGUUUGAUUGAAUGGUUGGUCGGCUGGUUGGUUGAUUAGUUGUUUUGUUGGUUUCUUGAUUGGUUGAUUAGUUGAUUGAUUGGUUUGUUAUGCUUGAUUAGUUAGUUGGUAGAACUGUUGAUUAGUUGAUUCCUUGAUAGUUGGCUGGUUGCAUAAUUGGUUGGUUGGU